rnacentral:rRNA from 1 species
CCUACGGGAGGCAGCAGUGGGGAAUUUUCCGCAAUGGGCGAAAGCCUGACGGAGCAAUACCGCGUGAGGGAAGAAAGCCUACUGGGUUGUAAACCUCUUUUUUCAGGGAGGAAAAAAUGACGUGUACCUGAAGAAUAAGCAUCGGCUAACUCCGUGCCAGCAGCCGCGGUAAGACGGAGGAUGCAAGUGUUAUCCGGGAAUUACUGGGCGUAAAGCGUCUGUAGGUGGUUUAAUAAGUCAACUGUUAAAUCUUGAGGCUUAACUUCAAAACAGCAGUCGAAACUAUUAGACUAGAGUAUAGUAGGGGUAAAGGGAAUUUCCAGUGGAGCGGUGAAAUGCGUAGAUAUUGGAAAGACACCGAUGGCGAAAGCACUUUACUGGGCUAUUACUAACACUCAGAGACGAAAGCUAGGGUAGCAAAUGGGAUUAGAUACCCCAGUAGUCCUAGCUGUAAACAAUGGAUACUAGAUGUUGAACAGUAUCGACCUGUGCAGUAUUAAGUACUACGUACGUUAACGUACGUCCGUCCGUUCGUAGUAUGUCUCGCAGAGUAGAACGUACGAAAGGUAAGUUAGUACGGCGUGUAAGGUACGUGUUCGACGGACGACGACGAGGGAGGUUAGG